rnacentral:rRNA from 1 species
GCUUGAGCACGUAGGUGGGUUUGUAAGUCAGAUGUGAAAGCCUUCUGUUCAACGGAAGAAUUGCAUCUGAAACUGCGAGUCUUGAGUGUAGGAGGGGAGAAUGGAACUUCUGGUGGAGCGGUGAAAUGCGUAGAUAUCAGAAGGAACGCCGGCGGCGAAAGCGAUUCUCUGGCCUAUUACUGACACUCAGUGUGCGAAAGCUAGGGGAGCAAACGGGAUUAGAUACCCCGGUAGUCCUAGCCGUAAACGAUGGGCACUAAGUAGAGGGAAUUACCGAUGUUCUCUCUGCCGUAGCUAACGCAUUAAGUGCCCCGCCUGGGGAGUACGGCCGCAAGGCUAAAACUCAUAAGAAUUGACGGGGGCUCGCACAAGCGGUGGAGCAUGUGGCUUAAUUCGAUGCAACGCGAAAAACCUUACCGGGGCUUGACAUGGUAGAAGUAGGAACCCGAAAGGGUAACGAACGGUAUCCAGUCCGUAGCUAUUACAGGUGUUGCAUGGCUGUCGUCAGCUCGUGUCGUGAGACGUUGGGUUAAGUCCCCUAACGAGCGAAACCCUUAUUUUUAGUUACCAGCGGGUUGUGCCGGGUACUCUAGAAAGACUGCCGUCGUCAAGACGGAGGAAGGUGGGGAUGACGUCAAGUCAUCAUGGCCCUUAUGCCCCGGGCUGCACACGUGCUACAAUGGUCGGUACAAACGGAUGCGAAGCCGAGAGGUGAAGCGAAUCCAAGC